rnacentral:rRNA from 1 species
GACGAACGCUGGCGGCGUGCCUAAUACAUGCAAGUCGAGCGCGGGAAGCAAACUGAAUCCUUCGGGAGGACGUUUGUGGAACGAGCGGCGGACGGGUGAGUAACACGUGGGCAACCUGCCUGUAAGACUGGGAUAACUCCGGGAAACCGGGGCUAAUACCGGAUGACACUUCGUACCGCAUGGUACGGAGUUGAAAGAUGGUUUGCGCUAUCACUUACAGAUGGGCCCGCGGCGCAUUAGCUAGUUGGUGGGGUAAUGGCUCACCAAGGCGACGAUGCGUAGCCGACCUGAGAGGGUGAUCGGCCACACUGGGACUGAGACACGGCCCAGACUCCUACGGGAGGCAGCAGUAGGGAAUCUUCCGCAAUGGACGCAAGUCUGACGGAGCAACGCCGCGUGAGUGAGGAAGGUCUUCGGAUCGUAAAACUCUGUUGUUAGGGAAGAACACGUACGAGAGUCACUGCUCGUACCUUGACGGUACCUAACCAGAAAGCCACGGCUAACUACGUGCCAGCAGCCGCGGUAAUACGUAGGUGGCAAGCGUUGUCCGGAAUUAUUGGGCGUAAAGCGCGCGCAGGCGGCUUCUUAAGUCUGAUGUGAAAUCUCGCGGCUCAACCGUGAGCGGUCAUUGGAAACUGGGGAGCUUGAGUACAGAAGAGGAGAGCGGAAUUCCACGUGUAGCGGUGAAAUGCGUAGAGAUGUGGAGGAACACCAGUGGCGAAGGCGGCUCUCUGGUCUGUAACUGACGCUGAGGCGCGAAAGCGUGGGUAGCGAACAGGAUUAGAUACCCUGGUAGUCCACGCCGUAAACGAUGAGUGCUAGGUGUUAGGGGUUUCCACCCUUAGUGCUGCAGUUAACGCAAUAAGCACUCCGCCUGGGGAGUACGGCCGCAAGGCUGA